GGCGCAAUGGUGUGAAUGGAAACAUAUCCUCUGCUGGCAGAGGAAGAUGGGGGUUCGAGUCCUUCUUGCGCUA